rnacentral:lncRNA from 1 species
AUGACGAGAGAAUGUAGUCUGACGUAUCAUUGUCCCGUUUACAGGGAACAUGCUCUGAGGAGUCUGGAGAGACUGAGAGAUGCCGAGAAGACAGAGGCACAAAUCAAGGUUUCUACACUGGAGUUGAAGUUGAUUAACCUAAAGGAGCAGACCGGUGGAGAAGGUCAAUGUAAUGGAGGUCAAGAAAAAGUGCAGCACACUGACUCGUUGAGGUCUCAGCUAGAGGAGAGCAGGAGGAGAGCCAAUCAGCUGCAACAGGAGAGAGACCAGGCAGUUCAGAGGCUACAGACUCUACGCCAGCUACAUCAGGCUACAGGACAGAAAGCAGCUGCUGGCAGCAAGAAAGAGAAAACGGUUUGUGUGGAUAACAUAGUGAACCAGGAUCAACAGAGAAGACUGGUGACAGAACAGCUGAAGAGUCUAUUUAAGGAGCGUGAGCAGUUGGGUCAGGUCUAUGGCAGAUCAGCAGGAGGAGGAGGAGGAGGAGGAGGUCUGCAAGACUGGGCACCGAAGUCGAAGGUCAUCAAGAACUCCCUUGACACAUUACACAGCCAGAGGAAGAGAGAGAAGGAGCUGAUGAGGAAGCAGCAGUUUGCGGGACUGGGGCCUGUGUCUGAGGAGCAGGAAGAGGAGGACGACCCAGAGAGGGAGGUGGAGGAGGAGCUGACUCGCCUUAGGGAGGAACUCCACAGCAAGACUCACGCGAUGUCAGCGAUGACUGUGGAAAUCAGCAAUCUGAAAGAGAGAAAUGAAAACCUCCAGAAAGCCAAGCUAAGGUUUCAGCCACAGAUCCAAGGGUUAGACACCACAGCGUCUAACUCUUUAGAGAAGACCACGUCAGAGAGUGGGGAGCCUCUUCUAUUGGAGAGAGACGUGCAGCGGGGAUCAUCAUCACCACCACCCCGCUGGGAAGAUGGAAUGUUCCUGGCUAGGCAGGUGCAGAUCGGCAGCCCUGAACUUGAGGGGGAGGAAGAAGAUGGAGGCUGUGGCUGAUGCAUACUACAGAUGGGUCAUACCUGGUCCUAAUUUUCUCCCUACCCCCUUCCCCUUGGCCCUUAACUACUUCAAGGUUGUCAGAUCUGAAGCAUCUAUAUACGUAGAAGCAGUAUUGUUGUAGUGCUUCCACCAUAUUGCUUCCACCCCUACAGAUCUGCAAACAUUGAAGCUAAUGGAGUCCUCCAUCUUUGUGUGAAGUCUUACUAUAGUCAUGCAGUGAGACAAAUCCUAAAAAGGUCUUACAAACCAGUGUUAAUGUCAAUCUACUGAUUAGUGGUUUUAAAAAUGUGGUGCUUUUGUUGAUGAUUAACGAUGAAACAGGAAGUGAAAUGUGUUCCAUUUGAUAAUAGUGAGACGAUGACAACAGAGGAUGAUUUUCUAUAAUACGCCUACGCUAUAUAAGCUAAUGAUCCAAAUGAUUACAUAUAGGGCUGUGUAAUAGUAGCAAUGUUAAUGUGGCUAAUACAUAAACACUAAAACGUUACCACAUACAUUCAACAUAACAUUUCUUUAGGUUUGUGAUUUCCUCAUUUUGUUGUAAUUAAAAAAUUAUUGCGUUUAAACUCACA